UUGACCUCGGAUCAGGUAGGAAUACCCGCUGAACUUAAGCAUAUCAAUAAGCGGAGGAAUGGCUUCGUU
rnacentral:rRNA from 1 species